rnacentral:rRNA from 1 species
GAUGAACGCUGGCGGCGUGCCUAAUACAUGCAAGUCGAGCGAAUGGAUUAGGAGCUUGCUCUUAUGAAGUUAGCGGCGGACGGGUGAGUAACACGUGGGUAACCUGCCCAUAAGACUGGGAUAACUCCGGGAAACCGGGGCUAAUACCGGAUAACAUUUUGAACCGCAUGGUUCGAAAUUGAAAGGCGGCUUCGGCUGUCACUUAUGGAUGGACCCGGGUCGCAUUAGCUAGUUGGUGAGGUAACGGCUCACCAAGGCAACGAUGCGUAGCCGAGCUGAGAGGGUGAUCGGCCACGCUGGGACUGAGACACGGCCCAGACUCCUACGGGAGGCAGCAGUAGGGAAUCUUCCGCAAUGGACGAAAGUCUGACGGAGCAACGCCGCGUGAGUGAUGAAGGCUUUCGGGUCGUAAAACUCUGUUGUUAGGGAAGAGCAAGUGCUAGUUGAAUAAGCUGGCACCUUGACGGUACCUAACCAGAAAGCCACGGCUAACUACGUGCCAGCCGCCGCGGUAA